GGGUGACAGGUGGUGCAUGGUUGUCGUCAGCUCGUGUCGUGAGAUGUUGGGUUAAGUCCCGCAACGAGCGCAACCCUCGACCUUAGUUGCCAGCAUUCAGUUGGGCACUCUAAGGUGACUGCCGGCUAAAAGUCGGAGGAAGGUGGGGGAUGACGUCAAAUCAUCAUGCCCCUUAUGACCUGGGCUACACACGUGCUACAAUGGGCGGUACAAAGGGUCGCGAACCCGCGAGGGGGAGCCAAUCCCAAAAAGCCGCUCUCAGUUCGGAUUGCAGGCUGCAACUCGCCUGCAUGAAGCCGGAAUCGCUAGUAAUCGCGGAUCAGCAUGCCGCGGUCGAAUACGUUCCCGGGCCUU
rnacentral:rRNA from 1 species